rnacentral:piRNA from 1 species
UAAUAGCUACAUUUUGUUGUUCCUCUGAAC